CCGCGAAACUGCGAAUGGCUCAUUAAAUCAGUUAUCGUCUAUUUGAUAGUACCUUACUACUUGGAUAACCGUGGUAAUUCUAGAGCUAAUACAUGCUGAAAACCCCGACUUCGGAAGGGAUGUAUUUAUUAGAUUAAAAGCCAACGCCCUUCGGGGCUCCCUGGUGAUUCAUGAUAACUGCUCGAAUCGCACGGCCUUGCGCCGGCGAUGGUUCAUUCAAAUUUCUGCCCUAUCAACUUUCGACGGCUGGGUCUUGGCCAGCCGUGGUGACAACGGGUAACGGAGGGUUAGGGCUCGACCCCGGAGAAGGAGCCUGAGAAACGGCUACUACAUCCAAGGAAGGCAGCAGGCGCGCAAAUUACCCAAUCCCGACGCGGGGAGGUAGUGACAAUAAAUACUGAUACAGGGCUCUUUUGGGUCUUGUAAUUGGAAUGAGUACAAUUUAAUUCCCUUAACGAGGAACAAUUGGAGGGCAAGUCUGGUGCCAGCAGCCGCGGUAAUUCCAGCUCCAAUAGCGUAUAUUAAAGUUGUUGCAGUUAAAAAGCUCGUAGUUGAACCUUGGGCCUGGCUGGCCGGUCCGCCUCACCGCGUGCACUGGUCCGGCCGGGCCUUUCCCUCUGGGGAGCCGCAUGCCCUUCACUGGGCGUGCCGGGGAACCAGGACUUUUACUUUGAAAAAAUUAGAGUGUUCAAAGCAGGCUUAUGCUCGGAUACAUUAGCAUGGAAUAAUAGAAUAGGACGCGUGGUUCUAUUUUGUUGGUUUCUAGGACCGCCGUAAUGAUUAAUAGGGACAGUCGGGGGCAUCAGUAUUCAGUUGCGAGAGGUGAAAUUCUUGGACCAACUGAAGACUAACUACUGCGAAAGCAUUUGCCAAGGAUGUUUUCAUUAAUCAGGAACGAAAGUUAGGGGAUCGAAGACGAUCAGAUACCGUCGUAGUCUUAACCAUAAACUAUGCCGACUAGGGAUCGGGCGGUGUUAUCUUUUGACCCGCUCGGCACCUUGCACGAAAGUACAAG
rnacentral:rRNA from 2 species